CAGCCGCCGCGGUAAUACGAAGGGGGCUAGCGUUGCUCGGAAUGACUGGGCGUAAAGGGCGCGUAGGCGGCGAUCAAAGUCAGGCGUGAAAUUCCUGGGCUCAACCUGGGGGCUGCGCUUGAUACUUGGUUGCUUGAGUGGGGAAGAGGGUCGUGGAAUUCCCAGUGUAGAGGUGAAAUUCGUAGAUAUUGGGAAGAACACCGGUGGCGAAGGCGGCGACCUGGUCCUUGACUGACGCUGAGGCGCGAAAGCGUGGGGAGCAAACAGGAUUAGAUACCCCAGUAGUCCCUGUCUCUUAUAC
rnacentral:rRNA from 1 species